AACGUAGGACGCAAGCGUUAUCCGGAGUUACUGGGCGUAAAGCGCGGGCAGGCGGUCUUGCCAGUCUGAUGUGAAAUCUCUCAGCUCAACUGGGAGCAGCCAUUGGAAACUACAAGACUGGAGUCUGACAGAGGUAGGCGGAAUUCCGGGUGGAGUGGUGAAAUGCGUAGAGAUCCGGAGGAACACCAGAGGCGAAGGCGGCCUACUGGGUCCGUACUGACGCUGAGCCGCGAAAGCCAGGGGAGCGAACGGG
rnacentral:rRNA from 1 species